GACGUAGGGCGCAAGCGUUGUCCGGAAUUAUUGGGCGUAAAGAGCUCGUAGGCGGCUUGUUGCGUCGACUGUGAAAAACCACGACUCAACCGUGGGACUGCAGUCGAUACGGGCAGGCUAGAGUUCGGUAGGGGGAGACUGGAAUUCCUGGUGUAGCGGUGAAAUGCGCAGAUAUCAGGAGGAACACCGGUGGCGAAGGCGGGUCUCUGGGCCGAUACUGACGCUGAGGAGCGAAAGCGUGGGGAGCGAACAGG
rnacentral:rRNA from 1 species